rnacentral:rRNA from 1 species
GAUGAACGCUGGCGGCGUGCCUAAUACAUGCAAGUCGAGCGAACAGACGAGGAGCUUGCUCCUCUGACGUUAGCGGCGGACGGGUGAGUAACACGUGGAUAACCUACCUAUAAGACUGGGAUAACUUCGGGAAACCGGAGCUAAUACCGGAUAAUAUAUUGAACCGCAUGGUUCAAUAGUGAAAGACGGUUUUGCUGUCACUUAUAGAUGGGUCCGCGCCGCAUUAGCUAGUUGGUAAGGUAACGGCUGACCAAGGCAACGAUGCGUAGCCGACCUGAGAGGGUGAUCGGCCACACUGGAACUGAGACACGGUCCAGACUCCUACGGGAGGCAGCAGUAGGGAAUCUUCCGCAAUGGGCGAAAGCCUGACGGAGCAACGCCGCGUGAGUGAUGAAGGUCUUCGGAUCGUAAAACUCUGUUAUUAGGGAAGAACAAAGGUGUAAGUAACUAUGCACGGCUUGACGGUACCUAAUCAGAAAGCCACGGCUAACUACGUG